AAGUAGGAAAUUGAAGUUUUGAUCAAGGAACAGGCAAGUCUCAACCACUUCCUCUGGGCAGUGGGCAGUGAUUCGGUCUGCACUUGACCUCAGAUACAACAGGGGUUCUACUUUGAUGGUAAAAACAAGCAGCUUUUGGUGAGCACAUGAGAAAACACAGCCUCCCUUAAGGAAAUGGGGCUGCCUGCUGUCCCUCCGGCACCUGAGGCUGUGUGUGAGAAGUCGUGAAGUGGCUGGGAAGUGCUUCAGGAGGCAACCUGUCUACCUGCUUCCGCUCCAGGAUCCAGACUAUGGAAGCAGGGACAGGCAGGCCUCUUCUAUCCCCGCUGGAACAUCUCUGUUAAGUUUUUUCUUGGGAAAACCUCGAGAGAGCUGAUUUUACGUCAUGCGACAACUGAACUUGCAGGUUGGAUUUUACGCACCCCUCUUUCUGGGUCCCCGUUCGGCUGGCCUGGGCCAUUUUCACGUUAGCAGGGAUGACAGCGGUCCGGAUGGAGCUCCAUUUCCAGUGACAAAUGUGCCAUUCCGCCUCCCUGAACUGCUCAGACUCCUCAGUGCUGUUACUGUUUCAAAGCUGACAUCAUGUACUGGAUUUCAAAAUCCCCCAGGGAUCUCUGUUGCUUGGGAAAGCCUGAGCUCUAACCUCAGAAGACCCCCCAGCUGACCUUUCCAGAUUCUUCGCCCCCGCUGCUCAGUUUGCUGGCUAAGCACGACCUACACUUUCAGAGGCAUCUUUUCUCAAUUCCUUCUGUGCACACUGUCUCACUACCUCCCAAGUGUCUCCUUUCUGAGUGUCCGUGCCUGCUCUCUCCCUGACUCUGAGGGGAAAUAAUCUGGGAUCUCCACAGCAUUGUCUGUUUAACCGUAUUUUAGUUUUUGCUUUUGUUUUUUGUUUUUGUUUUUCUUUCCAAACCAUCCCAACCAAUUGUAAGUACCUCGGGAAUGGGAUUAUCCCCUAACUUCACUCCUCACCCAUGGGGCAAUUCUUGGGUUUUGGAAGCUGUAGGUCAAUAUAAGCUUCCUGAGUGACAGAGUGAGAGAAAAAUGAACCCUAAGAUACAGUAUGUAAAUUCAAAAAUGAAUUAAGACAGAGGAAAGAUGUUAUGGUUGGUAAUGCCGCCUUUUGCUUCGCCUUUUGUGCUGAGACAGAAACAAAGCAUCAAUAAUGCAGAGAAGCUGAAUGGGAGGCCACACCUGGGCUCAGGAGACCUGCGAGUGCCGCCUCCUAUCUCCUUAAAGCUGCACAACUGACAUUCAGGAAAUUAAGACAGAAAUUCCACCUCACUCCAACGUAAACACAGGCCAUAACUGGCAAGGAACACUCCUCUAUGGUUUUCCUUGCCUAAAGCUAUUCAAAUCACAAAGAAAAUACCCAUCACACAGACUUCAUAGUGCAGCAGGCUCCAAAGAGCCGGUGGCUACUGAAGCACUGUAUAAAACAGAGUGACAGGCAACAAACGCCUGGGCUCUGAGCGAAGGCGGAAAGGGGGUCUCCUCAGAGUGGUCACGGUGGACCAGGCAAGUGGUACAAGUUAGGGGCUGAAAUCUGAAACCUGAAAACCUCAGGACUCAGGGAGGGGGGAGCCAAAGCCCAAGGACUUGGUGGAAAGGAUUCCCCUAUGCAGGUGAUAACACAUCAGUCAUGAGAAGCCAUUGACUUUGCUCAAGGCCUGUUCAGCUCUGCAUUAAGACAUGGCUUUCAUAGCCAGAAGAGUGAGUGGCAAGAAUCACUGGAGCAAGCAGGGUGGGACGGAGGAAUGGUCACCCCAGAGGGACAACAAACAGCCACACAGUCCUGAGGUAGUGGGGUUUGUUUGUUUGUUUGUUUGUUUGUUUUAAUAGUAUAAACUGUACCUGGGCGCUCUCUCCCAGUUUGAGUUCUUUGCUUUCUAACCACUUGGGGUUUAAGGACCUUCAGAAGAGCAGCUAUCAUCUAAUAGAAUCCUGUGAAGGGCAGCGUGGGAGAUAGUUCCUUUAGCAAACCUUCACAGCCCUCUUGGAAGAUCGGCGUGGCUGCUUCUGUUGAAAAUCUGAGGCUCGAAUGUAUGUCCUGACUUGUCCGAGGUCAGACAGGCAAUGGCAUGUGAUCAGAGCCCACGGGCUCUUCUACACUACACUAGAGCUGACUUGAGAUUUUUACCAAAAAAGUCAGAUGCAAAAUUCAGCUUGCUGAGAAAAAUAAGGAAAAGAAAGAAUUUUCUUGGACUGGAGAGAUGGCUCACUCAGUGGUUAAGAGCACUGGCUGCUCUUCUAGAGGUCCUGAGUUCAAUUCCCAGCAACUCCAUGGUGGCUCACAACCAUCUGUAAUGGGAUCCAAUGUCUUAUCCUGGUGUGUCUGAAGACAGCUACAGUGUACUCAUAUACAUAAAAUAAAUAAAUACAUC
rnacentral:lncRNA from 1 species